ACACUCUCAAGCUCUGCUUGGAUUUGAAUCACUGCCGCGGCAGGAUUCCAAUAUUGUCGGCAAUUGACCAUCUGUGAUGACUCACUUGGAGUUAAUUCGCCUGAAACUUCUUUCAAG
rnacentral:misc_RNA from 1 species